CACGUAGGGUGCGAGCGUUGUCCGGAAUUAUUGGGCGUAAAGAGCUCGUAGGCGGUGUGUCGCGUCGGCCGUGAAAACCUGCAGCUUAACUGUGGGCUUGCGGUCGAUACGGGCAUCACUGGAGUUCGGCAGGGGAGACUGGAAUUCCUGGUGUAGCGGUGAAAUGCGCAGAUAUCAGGAGGAACACCGGUGGCGAAGGCGGGCAUCCUGGGACCGAA
rnacentral:rRNA from 1 species